UACGUAGGGGGCAAGCGUUGUCCGGAUUUACUGGGCGUAAAGAGCGCGUAGGCGGAAGCUUAAGCGGUGCCUGAAAGCCCCCGGCUCAACCGGGGAGGGUGGUGCCGAACUGGGCUUCUUGAGGGCGAUAGAGGAGAGUGGAAUUCCGGGUGUAGCGGUGAAAUGCGUAGAUAUUCGGAAGAACACCAGUGGCGAAGGCGGCUCACUGGCUCGUUACCGACGCUCAGGCGCGACAGCGUGGGGAGCAAACAGG
rnacentral:rRNA from 1 species